rnacentral:rRNA from 1 species
CAAAGGGGAUUACCGGUGGCGGAUGGGCAUGCGGCGCAUUAGCUAGUCGGCGGGGUAACGGCCCACCGAGGCGACGAUGCGUAGGGGUUCUGAGAGGAAGGUCCCCCACACUGGUACUGAGACACGGACCAGACUCCUACGGGAGGCAGCAGUGAGGAAUAUUGGUCAAUGGGCGCGAGCCUGAACCAGCCAAGUCGCGUGAGGGAUGACGGUCCUACGGAUUGUAAACCUCUUUUGCCGGGGAGCAAGCGUGCGUUCGUGAACGCGCGUCGAGAGUACCCGGAGAAAAAGCAUCGGCUAACUCCGUGCCAGCAGCCGCGGUAAUACGGAGGAUGCGAGCGUUAUCCGGAUUUAUUGGGUUUAAAGGGUGCGUAGGCGGGAUGCCAAGUCAGCGGUAAAAAUGCGGUGCUCAACGCCGUCGAGCCGUUGAAACUGGCGUUCUUGAGUGGGCGAGAAGUAUGCGGAAUGCGUGGUGUAGCGGUGAAAUGCAUAGAUAUCACGCAGAACUCCGAUUGCGAAGGCAGCAUACCGGCGCCCUACUGACGCUGAGGCACGAAAGCGUGGGUAUCGAACAGGAUUAGAUACCCUGGUAGUCCACGCAGUAAACGAUGAAUGCUAACUGUCCGGCUCGAAUGAGCGCUGG